rnacentral:rRNA from 1 species
UAAACUAGGAUUAGAUACCCUAUUAUUUUAAAUGUAAAUAUAAAAUACUAAAUUAGUAUAAGUUAUGUUCUUGAAAAUUAAAAAAUUUGGCGGUGUUUUAGUCUUUUCAGAGGAACCUGUCCUGUAAUUGAUAGUCCACGAUUAUAGAUACUUUAUUUAUUAGUUUACAUAUCGUCGUAGUUUGAAUAUUUUAAUAGAAAUUAAAUAUUUUAAAUUUUAUAUUAAAAAAUAAAUCAGAUCAAGGUGUAGUUUAUAAUAAAGGAGAGAUGGGUUACAUUAAAAAUAUUUUAGGAUAAUUUUUUUUAAAAAAAUUAGAAUUUGGAUUUGAGAGUAAUUUUAGUAUAUUUAUAUAAAAUGAUUAUAGCUCUAAAAUAUGUACACAUCGCCCGUCGCUCUUAA